rnacentral:rRNA from 1 species
UACGAAGGGGGCUAGCGUUGUUCGGAAUCACUGGGCGUAAAGCGCACGUAGGCGGACUUUCAAGUCAGGGGUGAAAUCCCGGGGCUCAACCUCGGAAUUGCCUUUGAUACUGCAAAUCUCGAGUCCGGAAGAGGUGAGUGGAAUUCCUAGUGUAGAGGUGAAAUUCGUAGAUAUUAGGAAGAACACCAGUGGCGAAGGCGGCUCACUGGUCCGGUACUGACGCUGAGGUGCGAAAGCCAGGGGA